CCUACGGGCGGCAGCAGUGAGGAAUAUUGGUCAAUGGACGAGAGUCUGAACCAGCCAAGUCGCGUGAAGGAUGACUGCCCUAUGGGUUGUAAACUUCUUUUAUAAAGGAAUAAAACGAGGCACGUGUGCCUUUUUGCAUGUACUUUAUGAAUAAGAAUCGGCUAACUCCGUGCCAGCAGCCGCGGUAAUACGGAGGAUCCGAGCGUUAUCCGGAUUUAUUGGGUUUAAAGGGAGCGUAGAUGGGUUUUUAAGUCAGUUGUGAAAGUUUGCGGCUCAACCGUAAAAUUGCAAUUGAAACUGGCAGUCUUGAGUACAGUUGAGGUAGGCGGAAUUCGUGGUGUAGCGGUGAAAUGCUUAGAUAGCACGAAGAACCCCGAUUGCGAAGGCAGCUUACUAAACUGUGACUGACAUUGAUGCUCGAAAGUGUGGGGAUCAAACAGGAUUAGAUACCCUUGUAGUC
rnacentral:rRNA from 1 species